UUAACUAAAGCCAAAAUAGAGGCAAUUUAUUGUUAAUAAAGUUAUUGAAUUCAUUUUCUAGUUAAA
rnacentral:tRNA from 1 species